ensembl:misc_RNA Metazoa_SRP Metazoan signal recognition particle RNA
GCCAGGUGCGGUGACACCUUCCUGUAGGCCCAGGUACUCAGGAGGCUGAGGUGAGAGGAUCACUUGAGCCCAGGAGUUCUGCGUUGUAGUGCGCUAUGCUGAUCGGGUGUCCCACUGAGUUCGGCAUCAAUAUGGUGAGCUCCCGGGAACAGGGGACCACCAGGUUGCCUAAGGCGGGGUGAACUGGACCACAUCAGAAACGAAGCGCAUCAGAACUUAUGUACUGAUCAGUACGGGGAAAUCGUGCCUGUGAAUAGCCACUGCCCUCCAGCCUGGGCAACAAAGCGUGACCCAGUCUCUA